UGGGGAAUAUUAGGCAAUGGGGGAAACCCUGACCUAGCCAUGCCGCGUGCGUGAAGAAGGUCUUAGGAUUGUAAAGCGCUUUCAGCGGGGGAAGAUGAUGACGGUACCCGCAGAAGAAGCCCCGGCUAACUCCGUGCCAGCAGCCGCGGUAAUACGGAGGGGGCUAGCGUUGUUCGGAAUUACUGGGCGUAAAGGGCGUGUAGGCGGCCAAUUAAGUCAGAGGUGAAAUCCCCGAGCUCAACUUGGGAACUGCCUUUGAUACUGAUUGGCUAGAGUUCGGGAGAGGGUAGUGGAAUUCCCAGUGUAGAGGUGAAAUUCGUAGAUAUUGGGAAGAACACCAGUGGCGAAGGCGGCUACCUGGACCGAUACUGACGCUGAGGCGCGAAAGCGUGGGGAGCAAACAGGAUUAGAUACCCUGGUAGUCCACGCCGUAAACGAUGUCUGCUAGUCGUUGGGGAGCAUAGCUCUUCGGUGACGCAGCUAACGCAUUAAGCAGACCGCCUGGGGAGUACGGCCGCAAGG
rnacentral:rRNA from 1 species